rnacentral:rRNA from 1 species
GAUGAACGCUGGCGGCGUGCCUCAAACAUGCAAGUCGAGCGGGGCUAUGUAAUAUCGCAAGGUAGAACAUAGCCUAGCGGCGAACGGGUGAGUAACACGUGGGUAACCUGCCUGGAAGACAGGGAUAACGAUUCGAAAGGGUCGCUAAUACCUGAUAAUAUCCUUUCAUCGCAUGGUGAUAGGAAGAAAGGGGAAACCCGCUUUCAGAUGGGCCCGCGUCCCAUCAGCUAGUUGGUAAGGUAAAGGCUUACCAAGGCGACGACGGGUAGCCGGUCUGAGAGGAUGUACGGCCACACUGGGACUGAGAUACGGCCCAGACUCCUACGGGAGGCAGCAGUUGGGAAUCUUAGGCAAUGGACGAAAGUCUGACCUAGCGACGCCGCGUGAGGGAAGAAGGCCUUCGGUUGUAAACCUCUCGUCAUGGGGAAGAAGGAAGUGACGGUACCCCAACGAGGAAGCCCCUAGCUAACUACGUG